GUAUUGAAGGUGACGCCUGCCCGGUGACAUGUGUUUAACGGCCGCGGUAUCCUAACCGUGCAAAGGUAGCGCAAUCAAUUGUCCCGUAAAUCGGGACUAGUAUGAAUGGCUAAACGAGGUCUUAACUGUCUCUCACAGGCAAUCGGUGAAAUUGAUCUCCCUGUACAAAAGCAGGGAUAAACACAUAAGACGAGAAGACCCUGUNGAACUUUNNAAACAGCUGCCACCCCUGAAUACAUACACACCCACCCCGGGUUCACUUACUCAAGGGCUAUUGGCUAGCAUUUUUUCGGUUGGGGCGACCUUGGAGCAAAACAAAACCUCCAAACAUUGGACCACACAUCCAGACUAAGAGCAACCCCUCAACGUGCGAAUAGCAACCAGAUCCAAUAUAAUUGAUCAAUGG
rnacentral:rRNA from 1 species